rnacentral:rRNA from 1 species
UACGUAGGGCGCAAGCGUUGUCCGGAAUUAUUGGGCGUAAAGAGCUCGUAGGCGGCUUGUCACGUCGGGUGUGAAAGCCCGGGGCUUAACCCCGGGUCUGCAUUCGAUACGGGCUGGCUGGAGUGUGGUAGGGGAGAUCGGAAUUCCUGGUGUAGCGGUGAAAUGCGCAGAUAUCAGGAGGAACACCGGUGGCGAAGGCGGAUCUCUGGGCCAUUACUGACGCUGAGGAGCGAAAGCGUGGGGAGCGAACAGG